UGGAGGACUGUGAGGAGAACGACCACCAUUGAGGCUGCCUGUCAACCCAUAAUCUGGGUUUAAUCCAAAAAUCCCACAUCUGGAAUCUGAUCCACCAUAUUCCAGGAAUAUCUGAGGAACAUAUUGACAGACCAACGUUGUGGGACUCUGAUGAGUUUGGGAUCUCCAGGAUUGCAGAAUCCUUUGGAUCUUUAGGAUUAUUGGAUUGGCAGAUUACAGACUACAGGAUUACAUUCUUCACACUCUGGGAAUAUUGCAGAGAUGUUUCCAAAGAUUGGUUGAUGUUCCUUGGAGAAGUUUCUCAAACGUCUUCACUGAAUUCCAGGAUGGGAGAAGGAUUCCUGAGGAGUUAUUCCAGCUCUGGAGCAGCAGCUGUGGGCUUCAGGCCGCCCACGUUCCCAUGAGCAGGACACUGAUGGAGUAGUGCAGCUCCCAGUGAUGACGGAGCUCCGCCUCCUGCUGUAGAUCUGAUUUAAUAACUCUGGCUCAGAUCGAGUGUUUUCCACUCGUUGGUUUGGACGAAGGAACAAGAAAAACCACACGAGGGAAUCACCAAAGUGGUCCUGAUUGGCUCCAGAUUUAAUAAGGCCUGGAAAACCCUGGGCCGAGCCAAGGCAGGAAUAAUAGGCCUGUGUCUUUGCAUGGGUCAGCCACUUUAUUAGACACGCCCGUUUGCCAGAAGCCCACUCUGGUUCCCAGGGACUGAUCCAGGAUCAGGGAAAACCCUUCAAACAGCAGCUCUGCUCUACUCACUGCUGCUGCUACAAAGUUUGGCUCAAAACUUUCCACCAACUCAUUCCAUCAUCGUUCUAAACUUCUCGUCCAAUAAGAGAUGAAAACAAUCUUUGUCCUCGAGCUCUGACUUUUAAAUCAAACCCAGGAAAUAUUUGACCAAUGAGGGGGUGGAUCUAACAGAGUCUCUAAACACAUAAUCAACACAAACAAACACAUCUCAGAGUCUGUCCGUUUCAUGCCUGUUUUUAUUCAGAUUUUUUACCAAUUUUUGUUAUUUUGUGUAUUUUUUUCUUUGUCAUCAAAGUAAAUUGUCUGAAAGUUGAGAGUAGAGAAUGUUAUCUGAGCACUAAUUAUCAUUUAUCCCUUGUUUCUUUUUUCCAAACUGUGCAGCAAAGCUAAACAUCUGACG
rnacentral:lncRNA from 1 species